AAUGUAUAUAGAAAAUUAAAGCAAAGCGAAAGAGUAAUAAAUAAGAUGCUUUUCUAGCUCAAUUUAUGAAUAUACCUUAACGACCCCAAGCUCUAGUUUCAUCAUCUUAGCUGAGGAAAUUUAGAGACGAUCGGUUUUUGCGAUCCAUGGCUGCAAAUCUCACUCCUAAGAUCUUUAUCCAUCCUAAACAUGGAGAAUCUCUCGGAUCUUUAUCCUCCCUAAUCUUGGAGAGUCGAUGAAUUGUAAAAUUGCUGCAUUAUAUUGGAAAUUGCAUGUAUCCAUCGACCCAUCGCUACAGUUUCAUAGUUCAACACAUUGGCACAUCUAAAUUGGAGAGCUACAAAUCGCUACAUAUGAUGAGAUCUACAAAUCGCCUAGAUUGGAGAGUUACAGAUGAUGGAAAAAUUCACAUAAGCUGUAAAUCACCUAAAUUUGCAACUCAAGCUGUAUCAGAUGCAUCAAUUUCUGGUAAAAAGACCCAUAUUGGAGUGUUCUAGAGUAAAGACUUGCUAGAUUUCAUGAAGUGUUUGGUCGACUGGUGUCGAUUGAUCGAUUUUCUUUGGAUCUUGUAUGAAAUUGUUAACAAGUAAGUGAUUAUCCACUCGAUUUCGUGAAGGCUUGAUGUAUUGUUGUCUUUUUACUUUAGUUUUUUAUAUUUUGCCCUAUUUUUCGUUUAAGGUUUCGCCGUACUUUCCUAUUGAGUUUCCGAUUAGGGGUCUAAUAGUUUUCAACUAGAAUUUUCACUUAAUGAAUGUAUUAUUUUGAAGUUUUUUACCUUAUUCAUGCAUGAUCAUUAAGGUUUCUGAUAAUUAUUUUAAAAAAUUAAGGCUUUUUAGUAAAAUUAAGGUUCUAAGUAUUAGGGUUUCUAUUAUUGUUAUAUGGUGGGGUAUUUUAUAAUUUGUUUAAGUAUAUUGUGUGGGGUGCCUAUUGUAUGUUGAUGAGUAAUACGUCUACUAUACUAAGUACCAAUUGUUGCUUUUGUUUUGGUGUUAUUGUCUAUGCUUCGAUUUUGUUGCUUGCAUUGUACAAUAUACUGAUUUUAUUGUGGUUAUAGGUUGACACUAUGACUAAUAAGUACCUUAAUUUAAGGUUCAAAUUUGGCGGUAUCUUGGUGAGUGAGGUAGGUCCAGUAUAUGUUGGGGGUAGGACUGAAUAUGUAGAGAAUGUGGAUGAAGAUCAUUUAUUAAAUUCCUGAACUUGCAGAUUAUGCUAAGCCUUUUGGGAUUAGUAAGUUAGGAAAAACAUAUGCAGCUCCAUCUCUAGGGGGGUGAUUUGGUGGAAUUGAAAAAUGACAUGGACAUUUGUAGCAUGACAUUAUUUAUGCAUGAUGGGGACACAAUAGAUAUUUAUGUGUGUGAUGACACUAUUCUGGAUGAUGUGGGUCCUAGUGAAGGUCUAAUUAGUUAAUCUUAAGUUAAGUGGUUGAGUCUUUUAAUGCACAUGGGAAAUCUUUAAUUGCACAACCAAAAAAAUCAAAUCUAGGGUUAGGUUCCUCUUCUUCCUUUUCAGCUACUGAAAGACUUGAAAAUGAUGGGGUUGCAAGGGUCGAACAAGAAAGUGAUGAUGAUUAUUCUUCAAUAGAUUUGACUGAUACUGAAGAAGAAGUUGAACCAACUAUCCAACAAGGAACUGAACCUUCUAUUCAAGAAGAAGUUGAGUCAAGUACCCAAGAAAAUGCAGAGGAAGACAUAGACAGUGAUUCUAUCUGUUCUUACCAGUCUAUUAACUAUGGAAGUGAUGUGCAUGAGGAGUUGAGAAUUGUUAAGGAAGAUUUGAGAAAACUUAGAGAAAGUAGGAGGAGAAAGAAGAAAGAAAAACCAAAAGAUUUUUUUAGGUGAAGUUGGAUUUGAUGAAGGGUAUGAGGAUAUUGAAAAAAGGAAAAAGAAUUUCAAGGGUAAGCUAACAGAGAUGAGCCAUAAUAUGACAGUUCUGAUUGUUAUAGUUUUCAAAGUGAUAAAGAAGAACAUGUUUCUGAUGAUGAACUUGAAGGAGAGAGUUUAAGGGGGAGAAAGAGAAGUAAUAGGGUGGUAUAUGAUUCUUCUUGUGAUAUUGUAAUAUGGCAGUGUGGUUUGGUAUUUGAAAGUGUAAAGCAAUUUAGAGAGGCAGUUACAAAAUAUGCUAUAAAAAAGGAGUUGAGUUAGAUAAUUAUGUGAGUGAGAGUACUAGAGUGAGAGUGUGUUAAAGUAGUUGUCCAUGACUGUUCUAUGCAUGCAAGGAAGGAAGGAGUGAGAACUUUACUAUCAAGACAUACAACACAGGGCACAAACGUACCAGGACUACCAAUAAUAUUUUGUGUAAUUCAAAGUUCUUAUGCAAGUAUCUGAAAGAUAGGAUUAUUUCUCAACAUAGUAUAAAAGAGUGGGAGAUACAAGAAUUGGUGAGGAAAGAGUUGAAUGUUCAUGUAGGCAAGACAUUUUGUUUAAAAACAAAAAAAUAAUUUAGAGGAAAUUAUGGGGGAUCACGUGGCAGAAUUUAAAAGAAUCCUAGACUACAAGGAUAUGUUACUACAAACAAAUCCUGGUAGCACUUGUGUUGUGAACCUUAAAGAUUCAGAAUCAGGAAAUGGGAUAAAACAGUUUCACUCUUUUUAUAUUUUUUUAUGCUAUGAAAAAGGGUUUCCAACAAGGAUUCAGAAGAUGUAUAGGGCUGGAUGGGUGUUUUCUAAAGGGAAUUUUGUAGUGGUCAACUUUUGGUAGCUACAGCUAAAGAUGCAAACAACCAAAUGUAUCCAAUAGCAUGGGCGGUAAUUGGUAUUGAAAGCAAGUUGACAUGGAAAUGGUUCAUGACCAUUCUGAAAGAUGAUCUGAAUCUAGGAAAUGGUUCCCAGCUAACUAUCAUUAGUAAUAUGCAAAAGGGACUAAUAGCUGCUGUAGAUGAACUAUUUCCAGAAUGUGAGUACAGAAUGUGUGCUAGACACAUAUUAGCAAAUUUGUCACAAAACUUCAGAGUCUUAGAGAGAAGGAAGAAAUUUUGGGCUUGUGCUAGAUCAACAUUCGAGGCACAAUUUAAGUACAAUAUAAAUGCCUUAUCCAAGCUGGGAAUAGGUAUUGUUGAAUCCCUUAUCAAAUACAACAAGGAGACAUGGUGUAAAGCUUUUAUCCAAAUAUUUUCAAAGUGUGAUAAUAUAGAUGACAACAUGGCAGGAAGUUUCAAUUCUUGGAUCUUGGGACCUAGGAACAAGACCAUUGUAAUUAUGUUGGAAGAAAUUUGAGUUAAGGUGAUGAGUAGGGUGAGUAAGUCAAGAGCAUUUGCUGAAACAUGGACAAAUGAAAUAUCUCCAAUGGCAAUGGUGGUUUUCAAUACAAAUGUAACAAGAUCAAUGCAGUGCAACAUUGAAUGGAAUGGUGAUGCUGGGUUUGAAGUGUUAGAAGGGGUAUAUAAGCAUGCUGUGAACUUGGGUCAACAAAAAUGUAGUUGCAGAUCAUGGGACUUAAAAGGUAUCCCAUGUGCACAUGGUAUAGCAGCAAUGAACCACUUGAACAUGGAUGCAUCACAAGCAAUAUCUAGCUAGUAUAGAAAAGACACAUAUAUGAAGACAUAUUCUCAUUUCAUUCAACCAGUCCCAAACAUGGAAAUGUGUCUUAAAGCAGAAACCCAAUGGUUGAACCACCUGAGACAAGACAAAUGCCUGGUAGGCGACCAAAUAACAGAAUAAGAGAAAAUGGUUAAGUGAUAAAAGCUAGAGAGUGCCAAGAAUAGGGACAAUAAUGAUAUGUUCAUUUUGCAAAGGACCAAAUCAUAACAAGAGAAAUUGUCCGAAAAAUCCUAAACCUAAGUCUACACCAACACCCACCCAAGAGAUAUGGAACCUGGGGUGGGUGGGGGUGGGUGUAGUAGAUAUUCUGGAAAAAGGACAACAGAUCCAGUGGAAUCUCCUCUAAUGUCGAGUUUCGCACCUGAUCAAGCACCACCAUUGCGUGAACUGCCAACACCAGUUACGCCAGAUUCAGUUACAGUCAACAUAUCAGGACCAUCUUCAUCUGUGGGGAUUUAAGUACCAAGGAAUGACAUUGUAUACACAACUUCGUCAAAUACAACUGAUGGUACCCGCAUCCCCAUUGAAAUCGUCAUGGGAUGUUUGGAGCCAAGUAACAAUGUAUCUCGAGUGAUCGCAAAAAUCAUUAAGGAAAAAUUGGAUCCUGAAGGACAUGAUUGGAAGUUAGGUGCAGCAAAGAUUAAGUAUUUCUACUGGGACGAGUUUAAGAAGCGAUUCCAUAAUAUUACAAUUGAAGGUUCCAUAAAGGAUCAUUUUAUGCAAAAUGUUCAAUAUAAUACAAGGCUAUGUUAUGUGAAGCAAGAUCCUGUGAGGAGAAACAAAAUAAUAUUCCAAAAUCUAUUUGGGAGAGCUGGAAACCUCACUAUGAUACUGAGAGUUUUAAGGCUAAAUCUGCACAAUGUUCCAAAAAUCGACUCAGUGAGAAAUGUGGUGAAGGAUCUGGUUCCUCGCGCCAUACUGGAGGCUCCCGAACUCACCGAGAGCAUGCAAGAUAAUUGGCGAAUGUUCUUGGAAGACCACCUUAUCCUCAUGAACUUUUGAAGAAGACACAUACCAAAGGAAACGAUGAGUUUGUUGAUAUGAAGUCUAAGAGAACAUACGUAAGUAAUGCCACACAUUACUUAUCUUUCUUAAUUUUUGUUGAGGAUUCACUUAAUCUUCAUCCGUCAUGUUUAUCCCAAACAUUGAACACUUGGUUAUAAUAUUGGAGAUUAACAAUGAGGGAAGUUAAUGUCGUAGUAGUGAAGUUGAUGUCUCUGUAUAACUUUCCAGCGUGAAAGAACUCUUUAACAGCUAACAAAACAUCAUUCUGGAUUACUGGCCUUACUUUAUCAAUGCAACCGAGACUAUCUAUAAUCUCUUGGUCGGUAACUUCAGUACAUAGAGUAGUUUAAUUUUCUAGAGUAAGUGUAGGUCCCCUUCUCAUAAUCGAUUUGUCUACUGCAUGUAGCUAAGAGUUGCAGAACCCAUAUGAAUCUUGUAACAGUAACAAUUUCUGUCUGUGCAUCCUCAAGAGUGGUAUGCUUGGUUCCUGAUAAAGACAUAAUUUCAGAUAUUUGUUUCCUCUGAGCUCUUAGCUUCAUUACUGCAGAGAAAAGCUGUGUUGGAAUCUCCAAGCUUAAUCCACCUCGCACUAGACUUUUGCUACAAGAUCCUGUCCUCUCUCCAAAACCACUUCUCCAAAUUCAAUGUGCCUUUUCUUCAAUUAUUAUCCCAUCACUACACAGCAUACUCAAGUGUUCUUGAACUACCUUCAAGUCUGUCCUAGCACUAUCAGUUUAUUGGUUUAUAUUCUGGAAUUCUCUAGUAUGCAACCUUUUGAGUUGUGGCUUUACCCUCAUCCUAAACCAUACAUUUUUCGUCCUCCUGUGAAUUGUUGUCUCUGUACUGCACUAACCAUAGGUAAGAAUUCUUCAUGGUCAGCUAGAAAAUUGAAAAAUCAGAAAGGAAUUUUUUUUCAUCUGAGGUGCUGCAUAGAACUUAAGAAUCAUGGGAGAGUGAUCAGAAAUUAUUGGCAAGUCGUAAUCCAUUCACACAUGUAAUCAUCCAAUCAAAAUUACCAAGAGUCCUGUCCAGCAUACUCUAUAUUCUAUUCGCCUCUGAUAGUUUGUUUUCCAUGUGAAAAUUUCUCCUUCUAAUGAUAGUUCGCUGAGAGAUAAUUGUUGUAUACAGUCUAAGAAAUCUUAUGUUUCACCCUGAGUCAUGUGAUUCCCCAUUAGUGUGUCAUUUGGUGAGAGUACGACAUUGAAAUCACCCCAUCAAAAUCAAGGUUUAUUCAUAAAUUGGCCAAUUUACUGUAGAUUCAUGCGCAUUGACUUUCUUUGUUUCGAGCUAUUAUAACCAUCGAUUAUGGUUACCACGACAUAAGAUCCAUCAAUUCUUCCUUUAACUAAGCAAUGAAUUAAUUGCGCCUCCUUUUCAAUCAAGAUAACGUCGUACCAUUGGGAGUUCCAUAAGAUGCAUACCCGCUCAUUUGUUGCCUUCUGAUAAUUAUGCAGGCCACCCUUAUUUGAAGUCAAGUUAUUGAAGAUCCUAUUACUUGUAUGAGUUUUCACUUGAAUAUAUACUAAGCCUACUAGGUUAAUAUAAUUAUUUUAGAUAUAGUGCUUCAACGCUUUCUGCUUAUACCUUAUAUUGGCACCUCUUAUUUUCCAACAUAACCAUUUCAUAGAGAUGCACUUUGGCACCCACCUCUAUCAGGGAGUAUGUUAUGAGACUCCUCAAUUCCACUGGUCAACUUUUCAAAGCUAUUCUUAGUAGGUGUAGCCUUACUAAGAAAAGGGAAGUUUACUGAAUUCAGGGGUGGGCUUCCAAUUCUACUAGUAGGCAUUGAACUCUUCUCUUUUCUUGGACUUCGUUCUGGGACUUGGAGUGUACUCGAGAAGGUUGCCUGUGACUUCUGUAAUAUUUAUUGUUCCUGUUGAGUAAAUUCACGUAUAUGUCGGUUGUAUUGCCAUUCAUAUGUGAUAUUCUUUGCUAUCCUCCUUCGUUUUCUUAGAAGAUUCAUCUGAUCUUAUGUUGCAUCUCUAUGAGUAAGAGGGGAUCUUUCUUAUUACAAAAAAAUGCAGAGAUGUAUGUUACUGUGAACCAUAAAAGUAUAUGAAAGACAAAUACAAUGCACAUUUCCUUUUGUAUUUACAAUUUCUUUUUAAAAAUUAAACAUUCCUAACCUUUCAAGUCGCAACCCUAAGCUUUAUCUUAUUAUAAACAAUAGGUCCCCAUGUAGCUGCCACUAGCUCUAUCUUCAAUUACUUUUAGUGUAUACUCUUUACCCUCUCAAACACCUUUUUUUGUUUAUCCAACUCGCUUAAUUUAUUAUAAUAUCGUUGAAUUCUACUAAGCCUGAUAUUCUUGUUUGGUUCAUUGAUGUGAAAGGUACUUUAUCAGUUGUUUGAGCCUCAACUUGGUAGCUUCUUAAGAGAGAAUUUUAUCAAAUAUGGAUUGAAUUGCAUGACCUGGAAAAAGUGUACCUUUUAAAAUAUGUUACUGUUUGUAGAGCUUUCAAGGACAGAUUACCCACAAAUAAUAGGAUUAUCAAGAUGGGGAUUAACAAAUCUUCUGGAUGUUGUUGUUGCUCCUCACCUUGUAUGGAAUGGACCAUUUUGUCUAUAGUUGUGUGUUUGUCCAGAAACUAUAGAAAAUUGUACGUAGCGUAUUUACUAUCCAUUGGUAAACUUCCCUAUAUACAAAUUUACUUAACUGAUUAAAUAUUAGGAUCCAUGAUUCUUUGAUUAAUUUGAUCUCUAAAUUAUUCCUAUCAUUACUUCUUGGAAAAUUUGGAGAGUAAGAUGUGGGAUAACGUAUGGUACUGAGAAGUUAAGCAACAUUUCUUUUACUCUAAAUGAAGUAGAAAAUGCAAGUUCUAAAAGAUCAACUUGGCACACAAUUGGGAGGAGAUAACUUGUAAUUUGGAAAGACAGAUUAGUGCCGAGAAGACUAAUUUUGUACACUGAAUCUUAACUACAGGAAGGCGUGUCAAAAUAAAGGCUAAUUGCAAUUGUAGAAAUGAUAAGUGUGGUGGAGAAGAUGCUCUAAUGUGUAAGAUCACAUUUGCAUCUCAACUUGAAGAUGAAUCUUGUUGACUUUCCAACAGUAGAUUUUUCAAAGAUUUACAUGGAUGAAGUGGGUGGGGUUAAGAAGGCAUGUAUAUGUGGUUUUGGUUCUCAAGCAGUAUUCUAUGAGAACAUUGGUUCAUCGUCUGCUUCAACUACUCAACCUCAAGAUUGUAGUUUUGAUGCUCGGGUGAAGGAAUACGUUCAAGAAAUGAAGCAUGAGAUGAGAGAAGAGAUACGACAUGAAUUAAGUGAAGAAAUGAAACAUGAAAUGCAUCUACAAAUGCAAGAGCAAGUUGAUACACCACCUUAGCUUAGACGUGACCCAUCAUCAGUAUGUCAGAGCUGGGCUGCCUAAACCAUCCUCCAGUAAACUGCCCACUGAUACACCACCUUAGCUUAGACGUGACCUAUCAUCAGUAAUUAUAUAAGUCAUUUAAAUUAUUCAAACUAUCCCAAGUAGAUUUUGUUCUUUGGGCUUUAUUUUGAACUCUUCAUCUUAGAUUUUGCAUUGUUUUUUCCCUUAUUUGAAUUCUUUUUGAACUCUUCAUCUUAGGUUUUGCAUUGAAUGUUUCUAUAUUUAAUUGGAACUCUUCAUCUUUGGUUUG